rnacentral:rRNA from 1 species
AUUGAACACUGGCGGCAUGCCUUACACAUGCAAGUCGAACGGCAGCGGGGGAGAAGCUUGCUUUUCCUGCCGGCGAGUGGCGAACGGGUGAGUAAUACAUCGGAACGUGCCCUGUAGUGGGGGAUAACUAGUCGAAAGAUUAGCUAAUACCGCAUACGACCCGAGGGUGAAAGUGGGGGACCGCAAGGCCUCAUGCUAUAGGAGCGGCCGAUGUCUGAUUAGCUAGUUGGUGGGGUAAAGGCCUACCAAGGCGACGAUCAGUAGCUGGUCUGAGAGGACGAUCAGCCACACUGGGACUGAGACACGGCCCAGACUCCUACGGGAGGCAGCAGUGGGGAAUUUUGGACAAUGGGCGAAAGCCUGAUCCAGCAAUGCCGCGUGUGUGAAGAAGGCCUUCGGGUUGUAAAGCACUUUUGUCCGGAAAGAAAUGGCUCUGGUUAAUACCUGGGGUCGAUGACGGUACCGGAAGAAUAAGGACCAGCUAACUACGUGCCAGCCGCCGCGGUAA